GAAUGAAUGUGACCAUUUUUUCAGUUCCUCUAGAAAAAAAAAAAGUUAGCUGAACUCAAGCGUCCCCAGAAGAAAAAGGAAGUCUUUACUUUUGAGAUCUAAUUCUAAAAAGAACACCUUUUCAGAAAAGCAUUUUGGGUACAGAUACAUGACAUACUGUACUACUAUGUAGUAAGUCAUUCAAAUCCAGGAUAAAGAUACCCCUUGAAAUAGGUACAGUAGCUUUAACAUGUGGAAGGCUGCUAUAUAGAAAGUGCCGUGCAUCCACUCCUCAACUCAAUUUCAUCCUCAAAGUGAACUUGUUCUCCAGCCACUUUGGUAGUGGCUAUUGAGGGCAUGACAGACCUGACUACUUGUCUUCUCCCAAAUAUGGAAUGAAUUUCUAUGGAUUAAAAUCUGGAGCAAGAUACUCUGCAGUAACAGUGUAGUCUGUCUGCACCCUGGGGCACAUACAUGAUUACCACUCAUAGCAAGAUGGACUCCACCUUUUCCUGGAACAGAACCUCAAUAUUUUAGACAAAGACCACCCCCCCAUCAACCUGAACAAGGCAAGUGAAUAAGAAUACAGUCUUUUUCUACUAGACUGUGAAUAAAUAGUGCUACAAAGGUACUGAAAAAAUCAAAGCUAAAACAUUAGUCAGCAGCAAUAGCCCAACCACUUUAUCCAUGUGAUCUGACCUGACUGGACUAUUUCUAAGGGUAAGUGCACAGACCAGUCUCAGUGGCCACAUCUAUGCGAGACGUUAAUGUGCAGAAGACCAAUUCUACUGCAUGUUAGCGUGGUGGGCAAAACCCAUGCUAAUGUGAAGUAGAUUUGGUCUAAUGCACAUUAACGUCACUAAAAAAACCCAUUCAUCUGCGCUAAUGUGCAGCAGCACCAAUUACAGUGCAUUAAUGACAGGCAUUAGUGCCUGCCAUUGCAGAUACUAAUUUACAAGUACUAAACUUAAUGCACUGUAAUUAUAGUGCAUUAAUGAAUGUGUAGACAUGCCCAGUAUUUCCUAUUUUAGUAAAAGAUAUCCACGAUUAGGUAACCACUUUUCUUGUUGAUUCAGGAGUCAGAGUAGAGGAAACCAUGUCUCUCUAACAUCUAUUUUUCACCUUAUUAGAAUAGGCAAUUUCUGGUUCUACAGAAAUCAAACAAAUGCCAGUUAAGUCAGUGCCGUGCUUUUAUUCUCCCAUGUUAAGAUUCUUGUGGUGCCAUAACUUCUGAUAAGACAAGUGAUACAACAGCUGACAGAAGAAAACACAUAUGGGAACUUUCCUAUAGGAAGAAAGGCAGCUGAAGUUUGUAAACAAGAAAAAAAAGUCUUCAGUUCUUGAAUUAUGUCACUAAUUUUCACCAUCUGAUGCUAGUCUCAAAUUUAAAUGCUGGUGCUUAAUUUAAGGGGGAAAAUAUUAUGGAAAACCUAACUUCUCCCCUUACCCCCAGGUGCUUUCACAACAGUGACUUAUGUUGCUGUUCCUGCACAAAACACUGCCCAAGGACAAGGCCAGGAGCAGAGUGAAUCAGAUGCUCUAAUCUGAUCUGCUCUGCAGGAAAAGUGGUAUGUACUCAUGUACCAAAGGCACAAGCUGUUUUGGUUGUCUGCGACUGUGGGAUGAUUUUAAAAAAAGGAAUUGUACUAGUAAUGAAGAACACUCCUGUUCCAAAUGCAUUUUCAGUUCAGCCCACAGCAAAAAGCAAGCACAGACAUUCACCAUUACUGGCUCUAGCCUUUUCCUUAUCCCAAAUCCCAAGAGGGGGUGGUUUGGAAAGUUGUGUACCCUAAGAAAAUAAGGAAUUCCCUUUGGCGACUCUCCAGAGAGACUGGAUAGGCUUCUCCAUUUCUGCUUUCUUAACAAAGGGAAGCAGCAGACCAGCCAGUGGGACAGGAAGGCUCCAGGACCCAGCAGAAUUCCUCCAUCAACUCAUCAGGAAUAACAGAGAACAGCUGUAGUCCAUUGGAACCAUCACUGAAAUCAGCUGCACGGCACUGUUAAGGCAGAAGCCUAUAAAGAGAGUGCAAGCUCAAGGAAGGAGGUUGCUGGGGAACAGUUCCCAGACACCAAACCUAUAUAGGGACUGUUCUGUUUUGACAUGUACUUUUGUUUGCACCUAGUCACAAACAGGAGGACAACUGGAUUCCUUGUUUGCUAAUAUCUGAACUCAUGACACCUCGCUAGCAAGGAUGCUUUUGGGUGAUUAUGGUCUGAGCUCUAAAGCAGCACCUUUGCCACAAAUGGGUGACAGUAAUCUGCAAAUCCAAGAAGCACUGCAGCUUGCCACAUGUGCGCUCCACUGGACCUGCUGAUACAACCACACACCGAUUACCUGAAGCCUCCAGCACUACAGAUCCAGGAUACUGGUUUUCUACCUCUUUUCACUUGCAAGUCCCUAGGAAGUUUUGAGUGGAGGUCCAUACCCCUUCAAAAUACUCACAACAGCCUCUCCUCACGCGUGCGCCCCCUGCGGAAAGCGCCGCCGACACGACGGGUGGCGGAUGGAUGCCGGGGCGGAUGACCUUUAUUGAUAACCGCCAUCCUUCGCACGGCAGUGCCUUUUCGAAGGAUGCUAGCACGAUUUAAAACCGAAAGAGAGGACUCCUGCGACCACCGUCGCCGCCACCUGAAUUCAGCACUGAAUAACAGGGGAGAAUCGGAAGCUGGGAAAACACACCGCCAGUCUGCGCUGCGGGACCGACUGAGCUAGGCAUUUAUCUGAAUUGCCGCUUCGCUGACGUACCUCGCCUGAGAAAUAUUGCCAGACGUUUUCAGUGGGGAACAAGCAGUCGUGCAUCUCAAGGAAGACGCAGAGAGCAACACGGUGGCCCCUCGUACUCGGCGGAGACACGGUCUUCGUUGCGAUUCGGAGGAGAGUGCUUCUAAGUCACCCGCGCGACUUACCCUGGACACAGGUUAUCUUACAAACAUACCUGUCAACUGGCCCUUGCAUCAGAAGAUAGUCCCAAAACUAACUGUUUCAUUCAAAGGUAAUACCUCUCGCUUUGUGUUUUUGGAAACUUCAUGAAAGAAAGAAAAAAAAAACAAAAAACGACAGAUGAU